CAUCAACGAGUUUCGCGGUCUUCAAUUUGAGCAUCAACAUUCUUUUAAUAUUAAAGAUGGAGAACAGGCACUUGAACGCAUCUCCUUUGGAGGAAGUCAUAUUAGGGAAACCGUGGUAGCUCAAAGUAGAAUACUGUUGUUUUGGUAUUGCACCACUUACUGAUUCAUAUAUAUAUAUAUGGAGUGCCAUGGAGAUGUUUAUCGAGUAGAGUGGGCAGAGCAGAUUGAUGGAUUUUGGCGCAGAUGAACUAAAAUAGUUAGCAUAUGUAUAUGCAGAUUUCUUACUUUGUGUAGCAGCAACUUUGGAUUAAAUUGGUCAAAACAGUAGAGUAGGACAUUUUGGAUCUUUAUUCUCCUUUAAUAAGAUGGACUUAUGGCGUUUGUAGAUUACUUGUGUUGGAUGUUUUCUAUGUUGUA